UUCAAAUUUUUUGGAUAUGAAGUUGAUGU
rnacentral:piRNA from 1 species